GUGUCAGCCGCCGCGGUAAUACGUAGGGUGCGAGCGUUGUCCGGAAUUAUUGGGCGUAAAGGGCUCGUAGGCGGUCUGUCACGUCGGGAGUGAAAACUCAGGGCUUAACCCUGAGCCUGCUUCCGAUACGGGCAGACUAGAGGUAUGCAGGGGAGAACGGAAUUCCUGGUGUAGCGGUGAAAUGCGCAGAUAUCAGGAGGAACACCGGUGGCGAAGGCGGUUCUCUGGGCAUUACCUGACGCUGAGGAGCGAAAGUGUGGGGAGCGAACAGGAUUAGAUACCCUGGUAGUCC
rnacentral:rRNA from 1 species